GGAAUAUUGGACAAUGGGCGAAAGCCUGAUCCAGCCAUGCCGCGUGAGUGAAGAAGGCCCUAGGGUUGUAAAGCUCUUUCAAUUGUGAAGAUAAUGACGGUAGCAAUAGAAGAAGCUCCUGCUAAAUUCGUGCCAGCAGCCGCGGUAAUACGGAUGGAGCAAGCGUUGUUCGGAAUCACUGGGCUUAAAGCGUAUGUAGGCGGACCAGUAAGUCAGGAGUGAAAUCCCGGGGCUCAACCCCGGAACUGCUCUUGAAACUACUGGUCUAGAAUUCUGGAGAGGUUGGGAGAAUUCCGAGUGUAGAGGUGAAAUUCGCAGAUAUUCGGAGGAAUACCAGUGGCGUAGGCGCCCAACUGGACAGAUAUUGACGCUCAGAUACGAAAGCGUGGGGAGCAA
rnacentral:rRNA from 1 species